rnacentral:rRNA from 1 species
CGGAGGAACAUGUGGUUUAAUUCGAUGAUACGCGAGGAACCUUACCCGGGAUUGAAAUGUAGAUGACCGCUCCUGAAAGGGAGUUUUCCUUCGGGACAUCUAUGUAGGUGCUGCAUGGUUGUCGUCAGCUCGUGCCGUGAGGUGUCGGCUUAAGUGCCAUAACGAGCGCAACCCCUGUCUACGGUUGCCAUCAGGUAAUGCUGGGAACUCCGUAGAGACUGCCGUCGUAAGGCGUGAGGAAGGUGGGGAUGACGUCAAAUCAGCACGGCCCUUACAUCCGGGGCGACACACGUGUUACAAUGGUAAGGACAAAGGGCAGCUACCUGGCGACAGGAUGCGAAUCUCUAAACCUUAUCACAGUUCGGAUCGGAGUCUGCAACUCGACUCCGUGAAGCUGGAUUCGCUAGUAAUCGCGCAUCAGCCAUGGCGCGGUGAAUACGUUCCCGGGCCUUGUACACACCGCCCGUCAAGCCAUGAAAGCCGGGGGUGCCUGAAGUCCGUGACCGCAAGGGUCGGCCUAGGGUAAAACUGGUGAUUGGGGCUAAGUCGUAACAAGGUAGCCGUACCGGAAGGUGCGGCUGGAACACCUCCUUUCUGGA